UGGAGAUGUAGCUCAAUAGUGUAACACUUGCCUAGCAUGCAUGAGGCUCUGGGUUCAAUCCCCAGCACUGCAA
rnacentral:tRNA from 1 species